rnacentral:tRNA from 1 species
GGGGUUGUGGCUCAGUGGUAGAGUGCUUGCCUAGCAUGUAUGAGGCACUGGGUUCGAUCCUCAGCACCA